GAAUAUUGCCCAAUGGGGGAAACCGUGAGGCAGCAAAGCCGAGUGGAGGAUGAGGCAUUUCGGUGUUAAAAACUCCUUUUAUUAAGGAAGAAAUUUGGCGGUACUUAAUGAAUAAGCACCGGCUAACUCCGUGCCAGCAGCCGCGGUAAUAGGGAGGGUGCAAGCGUUAUUUGGAAUUUCUGGGGGUAAAGGACGCGUAGGCGGGCUGGAAAGUUGGAUGUGAAAUCGUAUGGCUUAACCAUAGAACUGCAUCCAAAAAUUGUUGGUUAGAGUGAGAGAGAGGUCAGUGGAAUUUGUGGUGUAGGGGUAAAAUCGGUAGAGAUCAAUAGGAAUACUCAUUGCGAAGGCGACUGAUUGGAACUUAACUGACGGUGAGGCGUGAAAGCGUGGGGAGCAAACAGGAUUAGAUACCCUGGUAGUCCACGCCCUA
rnacentral:rRNA from 1 species